GAUGAACGCUGGCGGCGUGCUUAACACAUGCAAGUCGAACGGUGAACACGGAGCUUGCUCUGUGGGAUCAGUGGCGAACGGGUGAGUAACACGUGAGCAACCUGCCCCUGACUCUGGGAUAAGCGCUGGAAACGGCGACUCAUACUGGAUAUGUGACGUGACCGCAUGGUCUGCGUUUGGAAAGAUGGUUCGGUUGGGGAUGGGCUCGCGGCCUAUCAGCUUGUUGGUGGGGUAAUGGCUAACCAAGGCGUCGACGGGUAGCCGGCCUGAGAGGGUGACCGGCCACACUGGGACUGAGACACGGCCCAGACUCCUACGGGAGGAAGCAGUGGGGAAUAUUGCACAAUGGGCGCAAGCCUGAUGCAGCAACGCCGCGUGGGGGAUGACGGCCUUCGGGUUGUAAACCUCUUUUAGCAGGGAAGAAGCGAAAGUGACGGUACCUGCAGAAAAAGCGCCGGCUAACUACGUG
rnacentral:rRNA from 1 species